AAAUUCUUGCAACCUUCUGACCAUUUUAACUGAAAUGAUUUUUACUGGCCUUUACACUAGUUUCUUAUUUAUUGAUUUUUGGAUGUUGAACUCUGGACUUUCCCAGCAAGCAUCUAACGCAAGUCAGGAGCAAUCAGGCCCUGCUUAGGACAAGUGAGUUUAAAAAUGGAUUGGUGAAUGGACUGUGGACUUUGGCUGUUUUCUGUGCUUGGAAUUUAGUAGGACCUCCUGUUUGUCCUGCCUAGCAAGAUAUCAUUGAAGAUGUCGAAAUAAAAUUCCAACAAGUGAAAGACAUUGUCAGAGAAAGCAAUCCUCAAGGGUUAGAAACAACUACAGUAAACGAAUAAUACAUCAACAGGAUUUAAAGUCGGGUCUUCGACCAGAACCUGAAUUUAUGGACACCAUAACAGCACUUUCAAAGAGACAUUCAGACCGAGAGAUUCACUCAUGUAGCAAGACUUUAAAAUGACAAGGAUGGAAUCACCUAUUCUCAGUGUUAUUGUCUAGCAAGCCACCAACAAUUGUAAACAACUAAAUGAUGAAGCCUGAUGAGCAGAAUGGUCUCGCCUUGUCUGCCAAAAGUCUUAUUCUAUCACUGAGACUGUUUCUUAAACUAUUGUUAAACAUGCCUUUCUCUGUGAAACAAUAUUCAAUGAGAAGAUGGCCAUUACGAGCAUUUGAACCUGAGAAGCCCUGGCCCAACCAGUCCAGACAGUAUAAGGGUGGAUAUCCUCAGAAGGUGGUGUUGCAUUUUGGACCAGAGCACUCAAACGAUUGGAACUCCUGUAAAGCCCGACAUUUCACUUUGAUGGUGCUAGAAGGCAAACUUGAGAUGAUUACCUGUAUUCUUUAUGGUUAAGUGCCACCAAUCACCUGUUGUGUUAGUUUCAUUUUUUGAAUUAAAUGGGUUUGAUGCAGUUGGCACCCAACCAUUUUUGGAA